GUAGGUGAACCUGCGGAAGGAUCAUUAACAAUUACGUGUUUACACGUAUACCUUUUUACCCCCAUGAACUUUUCUACUAAUUUUAAAAGUAUUCCUUGAGAAGGACUGCGCUUGUCUUGAUAGUUAUGCUAUCUUUCUUUUUCCUCCGGGCAAAAGCAAGGUAUCGUCUCUUUCAUUGCACUGUGCUUCUUUCGAAAGAUUUACUUUAUUCCAAUGUUAUACAACUCUUAGCAACGGAUAUCUCGGUUCUC
rnacentral:misc_RNA from 1 species